AAUAAAAUAUGAAUUGAUUUUAAUCUGAAUUAACCCAACUAAUUCAAUUAAAGAUAUAAAAUGGAUUUUAUCCUAAUUUUUAUUUUAAAAUUUUAUAAUAGUUUGAUUCUGGCUAUUUUAUAAGUUUCUUAAAUCCAUUAUAUGAACUUUUAUAAAUUAUUAAUUUUCAGUAAUGAGUAUUAAAAAAAGUUUUUCUUUCUUUUAGGAAUUUAAUUAGAUGUGAUUAAUUUUGUGCCAGCAUUCGCGGUUAUACAAUUAGGUCAAAUUUAUAUUUAAGAUUUUGCAUAUUUAUAGGUUUAAUAAUUUAUUAUUUAGGUGAAAUUUAUAGUUUAUUUUAUGAUUUGUUAGUAGUUUUAUGAUAAAUCUAUAUUGAAACUAGGAUUAGAUACCCUAUUAUUUAAGACGAUAAUUUAUUAUUCUGAAUAAUAUUAGUUAAGUUCUUUAAAACUCAAAGAAUUUGGCGGUUAAUUGUAUUUCUAGAGGAACCUGUAUUUUAAUUGAUAAACCACGAUUGUUUUAACCUUUAAUUUAUUUGUAUACCUCUAUAAUUUGGAAUGUUUUAUAAGGACAUUUUCUUUUUUUUUGAAAGAUUAUAUGUUAGGUCAAGGUGCAGUUUUUUUAAGGUAAAUAUGGGUUACUUAAAUUUUAUUUAUUAUCAUUUAAUUUUAAUGUUAUUUUUUAAAUUGGAUUUAGAAGUAAUUUUAUAUAAAUAUUUUAUAUGAAUAUUUCCCCAAUUAAUGUACAUAUUGCCCGUCACUCUCAAUAAUAUGAGAUAAGUCGUAACAAAGUAGAUUUACCGGAAGGUGAAGCUAGAAAGU
rnacentral:ncRNA from 1 species